UGAAAGGCGAAACGUAAUGUGAAUCGCAACUAACAGUGAAUCAUCGAAUCUUUGAACGCAGGCCGCACCUUACAGCAUCAUUCUGUGUUGCUGCAAGGUAUAUACGUAUGAGUGUCAGUCCAAUAUCAUUUUGGUUCAAGAGGAUAAUAUAGAAUUUUUAAUUUUUUUCUUUAUGAAUACUCUUGAAUACAUAUUUAUAAUUUUUUUUAAAAUAUGUCUGGCCUCAUAUGUGUAAGGUUACCCGCUGGAUUUAAGC
rnacentral:misc_RNA from 1 species